GAUGAACGCUGGCGGUCUGCCUAACACAUGCAAGUCGAACGGGCUCUUCGGAGCUAGUGGCGGACGGGUGAGUAACGCGUGAGAAUCUGCCUAGAGGACGGGGACAACCACUGGAAACGGUGGCUAAUACCGGAUGUGCCGAGAGGUGAAAGGAUUUAUCGCCUCUAGAGGAGCUCGCGUCUGAUUAGCUAGUUGGUGAGGUAAGAGCUCACCAAGGCAACGAUCAGUAGCUGGUCUGAGAGGACGGGCAGCCACACUGGGACUGAGACACGGCCCAGACUCCUACGGGAGGCAGCAGUGGGGAAUUUUCCGCAAUGGGCGAAAGCCUGACGGAGCAAGACCGCGUGAGGGAGGAAGGCUCUUGGGUUGUAAACCUCUUUUCUCAGGGAAGAAAUCUGACGGUACCUGAGGAAUAAGCCUCGGCUAACUCCGUGCCAGCAGCCGCGGUAAUACGGAGGAGGCAAGCGUUAUCCGGAAUUAUUGGGCGUAAAGCGUCCGCAGGUGGCUUUUCAAGUCUGCUGUCAAAGACCGGGGCUCAACCCCGGAAAGGCAGUGGAAACUGUGAGGCUAGAGUGCGGUAGGGGUAGAGGGAAUUCCCGGUGUAGCGGUGAAAUGCGUAGAGAUCGGGAAGAACAUCGGCGGCGAAAGCGCUCUACUGGGCCGCAACUGACACUCAGGGACGAAAGCUAGGGGAGCGAAUGGGAUUAGAUACCCCAGUAGUCCUAGCUGUAAACGAUGGAGACUAGGUGUAGCACGUAUCGACCCGAGCUGUGCCGAAGCUAACGCGUUAAGUCUCCCGCCUGGGGAGUACGCACGCAAGUGUGAAACUCAAAGGAAAUGACGGGGGCCCGCACAAGCGGUGGAGUAUGUGGUUUAAUUCGAUGCAACGCGAAGAACCUUACCAGGGCUUG
rnacentral:rRNA from 1 species